UAUCUUUAGCUGAACUAAUUCUUUGUUUAUCUAGCUGUAUUAUGUAAUUUAUUGAAAAAGAUUUUUGUAAAAAGAAGUUGUGAGUUUCCAGCACUUGGAAAUGCGAGAAGAGAUAUAACUUUAGAAGCUGUAAAGAUUGCAAUCCUAAAAUAUGCUGUACCGCCUUUUUUGAGUACUAAAACGAUAGAAAUGCCUUCUUCUGAAACUA